GACGGUCUGAACGCGGGCCAAAGCAAAACCCCAUCAUCUUAAAUCCUCGCCUCCCUCCCCAUCCGCUCCACGGGGCUCGGAGGCCUGGCCAGGGUAAAACAAGGAGGGGAAAAAAGAAACAAAAAGGGCGAUGGGUCGUGCCCUUCUCUCCCACCUCCUCCUCCUCUCCAACCAAAAAUCUCCUCGCCUCUGCUCUUCGAUCGUGUCCGUUACCCAAAAAUCUGUGUUCUUUACCAAUGCUACUUUUACCUUUUCUUUCCCGCACUCACUUUUCUGUCGAAAUUCAUCUGUUUCUCUUCUUGUCAACAAGAGCAGUUGCCACGGUCGCAACCAGUCGAGCCACUUCAUACGAACGGAAGGAGCCACCCCGUCUCGUCUCCCUCUCCGCACCGGGGCCAAUUUCCGAUGCAACUGCACCGUUUCGGCGCCCGAAGCCGAGGCCUCUUUGAGCUCAUCCAGCCCUGUGAAGAAACGAGUUGUUUCUGGGGUCCAGCCAACAGGAUCAGUACACCUUGGAAAUUACCUCGGGGCCAUCAAAAAUUGGAUUUCACUUCAGGAUACUUAUGAAACACUUUUCUUCAUUGUAGACCUACAUGCGAUCACUUUACCUUAUGAUGCCUCAGAGCUUUCAAAAGCCACAAAGAAGACAGCUGCUAUAUAUUUGGCAUGUGGUGUAGACACAUCAAAGGCUUCUGUGUUUGUACAGUCUCAUGUUCGUGCCCAUGUGGAGCUAAUGUGGCUGCUGAGUUCUGCCACGCCAAUUGGUUGGCUGAACAGGAUGAUCCAGUUCAAAGAAAAAUCUCGCAAGGCGGGUGAUGAAAAUGUGGGAGUUGCGCUUCUGACAUACCCUGUUCUAAUGGCUUCAGAUAUUCUUUUGUAUCAGUCUGACUUUGUACCUGUUGGUGAGGAUCAGAAACAGCAUCUGGAACUGACUCGUGAACUGGCUGAGCGAGUCAAUUUUCUAUAUGGGGGACGGAAGUGGAAGAAAAAGGGCGGGAAAGGUGGUGCGCUUUUUAAGGUUCCUGAAGCCCUUAUUCCACCUACAGGGGCUCGAGUCAUGUCCCUAACAGAUGGUCUUUCUAAGAUGUCCAAGUCUGCUCCUUCAGAUCAGUCUAGGAUCAAUCUCCUUGAUCCAAAAGAAGUAAUUGCAAACAAGAUCAAGCGCUGCAAAACUGACUCAUUUCCUGGCUUGGAAUUUGACAAUCCUGAAAGACCUGAAUGCAACAACCUUCUUUCAAUUUAUCAGCUUAUUACUGGGAGGACAAAAGAGGAAGUUGCUCUGGAAUGCCAAGAUAUGAACUGGGGUACAUUCAAAGCAAAUCUUACGGAUGCUUUAAUUGAUCAUCUUCACCCAAUACAGGUGCGCUAUGAGGAGAUUACUUCUGAUCCAGCAUAUUUGGAUCAGAUUCUCUCUGAGGGAGCUAGAAAAGCUGCUGAUAUAGCAGAAACUACUGUUAAUAACGUCUACCAGGCAAUGGGAUUCUUCCAGAGAUAGUGUUAUUGCUGUUGCAAAAAGAAUUCUUCCAAAAGUUAAAUAUGGAAGGCACCUUAACGUCAUUUCCUGGUAGAAGGAAACCCAGCUGAAAAUCAAGUUAAGGUAACAACUCCCAAGGACUUCACCAACAACCCUAGCUGGUAAGUAUUGGGUCAUCUAAGUUCCUUCUGUUUGUGUUCUUUUAUGGUUCUGGAACAUCCAGAUGGAUGCCGGUAAACCACUUGCAGCUAUUUAUGACAUGUUUGUACUAUUUGGCAAUAACUAUGAUGGGGAGCAAUGUAACUCGUCUUUUUCUGUAAAAAAGCAUACUGGUACAGCCCAGCAUGUUUUGAUCAUAGAGUUAAUGAUUUGAAUGGGGAAGGUGAUCAAAAUCAUUAUUAAAAUAUUAUGUCACUGUAUCAACAGUUUGCAUUAGUGAUAUAUGUUAUGCCACAGAUAAACUUAGAACAAUGCUCUGUUAUCAAUAAGUGCCCUCAUCUCAUCUCUCUCAGAGCUAUCAAUCGUACUAAAAAGUUGAAAUAUGCUCUUAUUUUAUAUUUUUUUCCUAGGUAAUCUACGACUAUGACAAUAAAUCAUUGAACCAAACUCAUAAUAUUCAUUAAUUCAUGGAGUUGUAACUUUUCUUCAUUAUCAAAGGAUUUUCAAGUGAUCACGUGUUCUCCAGAAAUAACA